AUCUUCUGGGACCGUUUCCUCUCCUCCUGUUGCUGCUGGGAUCAUGGGGGCCAGGGCUUCCCCCUGGUACUAUGGCUCAACUCACUAGAAGAAAGAAGAAGGGGAGUGGACAGAGUUGUGGACAAGAGUGAUCAGAUACUUUUCUGCUUUGGAGCUCUGUAUGUUUUGAAAGAAGGCAACAGGGAAGAGGGCAAAGAAAGACCCAGACCCCCUACUUUCAAUCUUGAAACUUCUGUCAAGCUUUGUUGCAUUGUGUUCACAGCAAUAAAAUCACUUUCUGUUGCACUGUAA